UACGUAGGGGGCAAGCGUUGUCCGGAAUCAUUGGGCGUAAAGAGCGUGUAGGCGGCCCGAUAAGUCCGCCGUGAAAGUCCAGGGCUCAACCCUGGAAUGCCGGUGGAAACUGUCGGGCUGGAGUCCGGAAGAGGCGUGUGGAAUUCCGGGUGUAGUGGUGAAAUGCGUAGAGAUCCGGAGGAACACCAGUGGCGAAGGCGACACGCUGGGCCGUACCUGACGCUAAAGCGCGACAGCAUGGGGAGCAAACGGG
rnacentral:rRNA from 1 species